rnacentral:rRNA from 1 species
GAUGAACGCUGGCGGCGUGCCUAAUACAUGCAAGUCGAGCGAAUGGAUUGAGAGCUUGCUCUUAUGAAGUUAGCGGCGGACGGGUGAGUAACACGUGGGUAACCUGCCCAUAAGACUGGGAUAACUCCGGGAAACCGGGGCUAAUACCGGAUAACAUUUUGAACCGCAUGGUUCGAAAUUGAAAGGCGGCUUCGGCUGUCACUUAUGGAUGGACCCGCGUCGCAUUAGCUAGUUGGUGAGGUAACGGCUCACCAAGGCAACGAUGCGUAGCCGACCUGGGAGGGUGAUGGGCCACACUGGGACUGAGACACGGCCCAGCAUCCUACGGGAGGCAGCAGUAGGGAAUCUUCCGCAAUGGACGAAAGUCUGACGGAGCAAAGCCGCGUGAGUGAUGAAGUCUUUCGGGUCGUAAAACUCUGUUGUUAGGGAAGAACAAGUGCUAGUUGAAUAAGCUGGCACCUUGACGGUACCUAACCAGAAAGCCACGGCUAACUACGUGCCAGCAGCCGCGGUAA